rnacentral:rRNA from 1 species
UACGAACCGUCCAAACGUUAUUCGGAAUCACUGGGCUUAAAGAGUCUGUAGGCGGCUGAGAAAGUAGGGUGUGAAAUCCCACGGCUUAACCGUGGAACUGCGCCCUAAACUACUCAGCUUGAGGGAGCUAGAGGUAAGCGGAACUGAUGGUGGAGCGGUGAAAUGCGUUGAUAUCAUCAGGAACACCGGAGGCGAAGGCGGCUUACUGGGGCUUUUCUGACGCUGAUGCACGAAAGCUAGGGGAGCAAACGGG